rnacentral:rRNA from 1 species
CACGUAGGGCGCAAGCGUUGUCCGGAAUUAUUGGGCGUAAAGAGCUCGUAGGUGGUUUGUCGCGUUGUCCGUGAAAACUCACAGCUCAACUGUGGGCGUGCGGGCGAUACGGGCAGACUGGAGUACUGCAGGGGAGACUGGAAUUCCUGGUGUAGCGGUGGAAUGCGCAGAUAUCAGGAGGAACACCUGAGGUGAAGACGGGUUGCUGGGCUGACACUGACGCUGAGGCGCGAAAGCCAGGGGAGCAAACGGG